rnacentral:misc_RNA from 1 species
UGAUCGGGCCACGAGCCGGUACACGAGACGCUAAACAAAGGCACCGAUCAUGAGACACUAGACGGUAUGUGGGUUGGUAUACGAUGAUUAUUGUUGCGACACGAGUUCGACGCUAUUYGGUUUACGAUAAGGUGCCCCCYGAGYAGGCACGUCGUCUUGGGCUUGCCYUUGGCGGGGUGCUUGCGACAACGGUUGGUCUAGGCCAACCGGGCCGAAUUGAAGUUGUGGCCACACAACGUCAUYGAGGCAUGUUGCUUGUUUUUCCAUGAUUGAUGCAUGUCGGGUUGGUUAAGCCCGCACGAUGUUCCUUGAACGGCCCUGGCCAAUGAAUCGGGUGUUGUGAGCCUUGUGCAACGCUACUGAGGCCAAAUCGCUCGCUGAUCCUCGAUCSUAGCGGGACAAGGUAAGYUGAYGUGCAACCUAUUGAUCCAUGUCUAAAGUAUGCUUGGUUGCCCAAGCUUGGCUAGCGACUAGAUGUUAGUACGAUAUGGUGGUAUAGGUGUGCAUCGAGGCAUGUUGGUUUCAAUUUUUUCUUUGUUACUUUCGCAUCGUUCGGUGCAUUUUGGGGGCUGUUUUGGCUUUUGGUUGCUUGCUUGGCCUUUUGGUUGGGUGGGUCGCUACUAGUCGGGCGGCUUUCGGGAAUGUCGACCGGGGAGGUGCAUGAGUGGUGUUUGGUUUGUUACGGGUGGUUGGCUGUUUGCUUGCGCAACAACGUCCACGCGGCAUACCUCUUCAGUUUUGCGGCAAGACUUCGUUUGUCUUGAGCAUAUUGUGGGUUUCCUGUGUUGCAUACCUAAUCGAUGGUAACGUGUUGGUUUUACGAUGUACCUUUUCGUCAUGCGUCGCUCUUGUGGCGUGGGAUGAACAUUGAAGCGGUCUUUGUGAUCCACCUUGUCGUUGCAUUUGCAAGGAUGAUGUGGCCUAUGAAGCAUUGCUUGGUCUCCUGUAUACAGAACCUGAUGUGGGCAUGGGUCUUAUAAGAUCCUGAAUUUGCCCUCGUUAAGCGUUCUCGCUUCUCCAAAACGAUUGCCUGUCAUGUCUUGGCUUGUCCUUGCAUGGUGGGCUACGUCGA